rnacentral:rRNA from 1 species
UACGAAGGGGGCUAGCGUUGCUCGGAAUUACUGGGCGUAAAGCGCACGUAGGCGGCUUUCUAAGUCGGGGGUGAAAUCCUGGAGCUCAACUCCAGAACUGCCUUCGAUACUGGAGAGCUUGAGUCCGGGAGAGGUGAGUGGAACUGCGAGUGUAGAGGUGAAAUUCGUAGAAUUAUUCGCAAGAAACACCAGUGGCGAAAGGCGGCCUGCGCUG